UAUACAUGCAGUCGAGCGGACAGAUGGGAGCUUGCUCCCUGAUGUUAGCGGCGGACGGGUGAGUAACACGUGGGUAACCUGCCUGUAAGACUGGGAUAACUCCGGGAAACCGGGGCUAAUACCGGAUGGUUGUUUGAACCGCAUGGUUCAGACAUAAAAGGUGGCUUCGGCUACCACUUACAGAUGGACCCGCGGCGCAUUAGCUAGUUGGUGAGGUAACGGCUCACCAAGGCGACGAUGCGUAGCCGACCUGAGAGGGUGAUCGGCCACACUGGGACUGAGACACGGCCCAGACUCCUACGGGAGGCAGCAGUAGGGAAUCUUCCGCAAUGGACGAAAGUCUGACGGAGCAACGCCGCGUGAGUGAUGAAGGUUUUCGGAUCGUAAAGCUCUGUUGUUAGGGAAGAACAAGUGCCGUUCAAAUAGGGCGGCACCUUGACGGUACCUAACCAGAAAGCCACGGCUAACUACGUGCCAGCAGCCGCGGUAAUACGUAGGUGGCAAGCGUUGUCCGGAAUUAUUGGGCGUAAAGGGCUCGCAGGCGGUUUCUUAAGUCUGAUGUGAAAGCCCCCGGCUCAACCGGGGAGGGUCAUUGGAAACUGGGGAACUUGAGUGCAGAAGAGGAGAGUGGAAUUCCACGUGUAGCGGUGAAAUGCGUAGAGAUGUGGAGGAACACCAGUGGCGAAGGCGACUCUCUGGUCUGUAACUGACGCUGAGGAGCGAAAGCGUGGGGAGCGAACAGGAUUAGAUACCCUGGUAGUCCACGCCGUAAACGAUGAGUGCUAAGUGUUAGGGGGUUUCCGCCCCUUAGUGCUGCAGCUAACGCAUUAAGCACUCCGCCUGGGGAGUACGGUCGCAAGACUGAAACUCAAAGGAAUUGACGGGGGCCCGCACAAGCGGUGGAGCAUGUGGUUUAAUUCGAACAACGCGAAGAACCUUACCAGGUCUUGACAUCCUCUGACAAUCCUAGAGAUAGGACGUCCCCUUCGGGGGCAGAGUGACAGGUGGUGCAUGGUUGUCGUCAGCUCGUGUCGUGAGAUGUUGGGUUAAGUCCCGCAACGAGCGCAACCCUUGAUCUUAGUUGCCAGCAUUCAGUUGGGCACUCUAAGGUGACUGCCGGUGACAAACCGGAGGAAGGUGGGGAUGACGUCAAAUCAUCAUGCCCCUUAUGACCUGGGCUACACACGUGCUACAAUGGACAGAACAAAGGGCAGCGAAACCGCGAGGUUAAGCCAAUCCCACAAAUCUGUUCUCAGUUCGGAUCGCAGUCUGCAACUCGACUGCGUGAAGCUGGAAUCGCUAGUAAUCGCGGAUCAGCAUGCCGCGGUGAAUACGUUCCCGGGCCUUGUACACACCGCCGUCACACCACGAGAGUUUGUAACACCCGAAGUCGGUGAGGUAACCUUUAUGGAGCCAGCCGCCG
rnacentral:rRNA from 1 species